CAUUAUUGAAUAAACUUGGUUGGGUUGUUGCUGGCCCCUCGGGGCAUGUGCACACCUGGCACCAUUUUUACCACCUGUGCACCCUUUGUAGACCUGGGAUAACUGUCCGGGGAAACUCGGUUUGAGGAUCUGCCGUCAAGGCUCUCCUUGCAUUCCUGGUCUACGUCUUUACAUAUACCCCACAAGCAUGUAAUAGAAUGUCAUUGAUUGGCCUCAGUGCCUUUAAAUUGAAUACAACUUUCAACAACGGAUCUCUUGGCUCUCGCAUCGAUGAAGAACGCAGCGAAAUGCGAUAAGUAAUGUGAAUUGCAGAAUUCAGUGAAUCAUCGAAUCUUUGAACGCACCUUGCGCUCCUUGGUAUUCCGAGGAGCAUGCCUGUUUGAGUGUCAUUAAAUUCUCAACCUUUCCUGCUUUUGUUAGCUGGGCAAGGCUUGGAUGUGGGGGUCUGCAGGCUUCUCAGAAGUCAGCUCUCCUUAAAUGCAUUAGCGGAACCUUUGUCGACCAGCUCUGGUGUGAUAAUUAUCUAUGCCACUGCAAAGCGACUUUGAAUGGGGUUUGGCUUCUAAUCGUCCUUUACAAGGACAGCUCUUAUGACAUUGACCU
rnacentral:rRNA from 1 species